rnacentral:rRNA from 1 species
AGAUACAUUCAGGCCUUUGCAUCAUUUAAUGGUGUGAAGAGAAAGGAUAUCCAAAGUGAAAGUGGGUAUCAUGACAAUUGUAGAAUAGUGAUAUUUAACAAGUAAUCGAUGAGAAUAUCUGA